rnacentral:lncRNA from 1 species
AACCUGAACCGACUUUAAGCAUUGCUACGAUGAAAACAACCUCAUCGUAGUCAACUCUUGAACUUGUUAUUUCAACAAGUCGAGCUUUAUGGAUAAAACAUUUUAUCCGUAUCAGUUUUAAGUUCCAUAAAUAUUCGUUAGACUCUAAGUCUUCCGAAAGGUGUAUCAAGGUUUUAAUCUUGAAUCACUUAUAUGGAAACUAACUUGGGUUGUAUUGGCAUUUAGCCAAUUCCGGAGUCAGGGAAGGCAAUGUUACUCCAAGAAGGCAAUGUUAUUAGUAGCACAUGUCUCUACAAAAUGGAAGACUAAAACAAGAUUAAUGACUGCAAUGACUGACUGGGAAGUGACAAUGUAUAAAUAGCUCAUGUACCUCAGGUUGUAUCUUAGCCUCGCAUGCAGCAUCACAUCAUCCAUCAUCCAUCAUCCAUGAAGGAAGCCUUCAGAUCCGCACUGAACCCACAGCAGACACAGUAACAACACAAGCAUAUGGAAAGCAGCGGCGGCACAACUUGAGCAUCCAGCCAUGGGUGGGGUGAGCCGUGAGAAACAACAUACCGGACACUGGCAUGUGCGCCGUCCCCGUAAGCCUCGGGGAUCUGGUUCGCUUACGCGCGCGUGGCCCGUCCAUCCUGGGCGGUCUCAUCCUCCUGGCAGGCUUCGUCGGCGCAUGAUGGAGCCGCCGCCAGCUCCUUGCUUUGUACCUCUUCACCAUGCCGGCGAAAUGCUCAUCACGCUCCUCGUUUUUGCCUUUGCCGUCACUAGCGGUCCGGAGGUGAGGCCCGAGGCUGUGGAGAGGCGUGGCCAGCAGAGGGGGGCAUGCUGUUUCGCCCAAUCUCCGUGUGCGCUAAAGCUGCCGUCACGAUCCCACCGUUAAAGAAAGUAUUGAAGUCAUGGAGCUGGGGAUCCCAACUCAUUCAUUUGAUUCCUCCAAACUUCACAUCUCAAUGAUUAUAUAUCCUAAUGAGAAAUAUAAAGAAACUGUCAAUUACUUACCUGUAUCAGAAAUAAAGCACUCUGCAAUACCUUUGUCAGAUAAAUACUGACUUUGUCCCAUGUACACAUGCAAGCUGACAAUGAGCAGGCAUCUGAGGAUGCAUGAUAAUCCUCCUGGAUUAUUUUUGGCAAGUAGCCGUCCAUUCCUUCCAUGACGAAGCUGGUAAUACAGAUCAUUGAACUCCUUUUUUUAAAACAAUAUUACUCCAAGAAGGCAAUGUUAUUAGUAGCUCAUGUCUCUACAUAAUGGAAGACUAAAACAAGAUUAAUGACUGCAAUGACUGACUGGUAAGUGACAAUGUAUAAAUAGCUCCUGUACCUCAGGUUGUAUCUUCGCCUCGCAUUCAACAUCACAUCAUCCAUCAUCCAUGAAGGAAGCCUUCAGAUCCGCGCGGAACCCACAUCAGACACAGAAACAACACAAGCAUAUGGAAAGCAGCGGCGGGCACAGCUUGAGCAUCCAGCCAUGGGUGGGGUGAGCCGUGAGAAACAACGUACCGGACACUGGCAUGUGCGCCGUCCCCGUAAGCCUCGGGGAUCUGGUUCGCUUACGCGCGUGUGGCCCGUCCAUCCUGGGCGGUCUCAUCCUCCUGGCAGGCUUCGUCGGCGCAUGAUGGAGCCGCCGCCAGCUCCUUGCUUUGUACCUCUUCACCGUGCCGGCGCAAUGCUCAUCACGAUCCUCGUUUUUGCCUUUGUCGUCACCAGCGGUCCAGAGGUGAGGCUCGAGGCUGCGGAGAGGCGUGGCCAGCAUAGGGGGGGCGUGCUGUUUCGCCCAAUCUCCGUGUGCGCUGAAGCUGCCGUCACGAUCCCACAGUUAGAGAAAGUAUUGAAGUCAUGGAGCUGGGGAUCCCAACUCAUUGAUUUGCUCCUCCAAACUUCACAUCUCAAUGAUUAUAUAUCCUAAUGAGAAAUAUAAAGAAACUGUCAAUUACUUCCUUGUAUCAGAAAUAAAGCACUCUGCGAUACCUUUGUCUGAUAAAAACUGACUUUGUCCCAUGUACACACGCAAGCUGACAAUGAGCAGGCAUCUGAUUAGGCAUGGUAAUCAUCCUGGAUUAUAUUUGGCAAGUAGCCAUCCAUUCCUUCCAUGACGAAGCUAGUAAUACAGAUCAUGGAACUCCUUUUUUUAAAACAAUAUUACUCCAAGAAGGCAAUGUUAUUAGUAGCUCAUGUCUCUACAUAAUGGAAGACUAAAACAAGAUUAAUGACUGCAAUGACUGACUGGGAAGUGACAAUGUAUAAAUAGCUCCUGUACCUCAGGUUGUAUCUUAGCCUCGCAUUCAGCAUCACAUCAUCCAUCAUCCAUGAAGGAAGCCUUCAGAUCCGCGCGGAACCCACAUCAGACACAGAAACAACACAAGCAUAUGGAAAGCAGCGCCGGGCACAGCUUGAGCAUCCAGCCAUGGGUGGGGUGAGCCGUGAGAAACAACAUACCGGACACUGGCAUGUGCGCCGUCCCCAUAAGCCUCGGGGAUCUGGUUCACUUACGCGUGCGUGACCCGUCCUUCCUGGGCGGUCUCAUCCUCCUGGCAGGCUUCGUCGGCGCAUGAUGGAGCCGCCGCCAGCUCCUUGCUUUGUACCUCUUCGCCAUGCCGUCGUAAUGCUCAUCAUGAUCCUCGUUUUUGCCUUUGCCGUCACCAGCGGUCCGGAGGUGAGGCCCGAGUCUGCGGAGAGGCGUGGCCAGCAGAGGGGGGGCAUGCUGUUUCGCCCAAUCUCCGUGUGCGCUGAAGCUGCCGUCACGAUCCCAGAGUUAGAGAAAGUAUUGAAGUCAUGGAGUUGGGGAUCCCAACUCAUUGAUUUGAUUCCUCCAAACUUCACAUCAAUGAUUAUAUAUCCUAAUGAGAAAUAUAAAGAAACUGUCAAUUACUUACCUGUAUCACAAAUAAAGCACUCUGCGAUACCUUUGUCAGAUAAAAACUAACUUUGUCCCAUGUAUACAUGCAAGCUGGCAAUGAGCAGGCAUCUGAGGAUGCAUGAUAAUCAUCCUGGAUUAUAUUUGGCAAGUAGCCGUCCAUUCCUUCCAUGACGAAGCUGGUAAUACAGAUCAUUGAACUCCUUUUUUUAAAUUUUAUUAGUCCAAGAAGGAAAUGUUAUUAGUAGCUCAUGUCUCUGCAUAAUGGAGGACUAAAACAAGAUUAAUGACUGCAAUGACUGACUCGGAAGUGACAAUGUCUAAAUAGCUCCUGUACCUCAGGUUGUAUGUUAGCCUGGCAUUCAGCAUCACAUCAUCCAUCAUCCAUGAAGGAAGCCUUCAGAUCCGUGCUGAACCCACAGCAGACACAGAAACAACACAAGCAUAUGGAAAGCAGCGGCGCCACAGCUUGAGCAUCCAGCCAUGGGUGGGGUGAGCCGUGAGAAACAACAUACCGGACACUGGCAUGUGCGCCGUCCCCGUAAGCCUCGGGGAUCUGGUUCGCUUACGCGCGCGUGGCCCGUCCAUCCUGGGCGGUCUCAUCCUCCUGGCAGGCUUCGUCGGCGCAUGAUGGAGCCGCCGCCAGCUCCUUGCUUUGUACCUCUUCGCCAUGCUGGCAUAAUGCUCAUCAUGCUCCUCGUUUUUUCCUUUGCCGUUACCAGUGGUCCGGAGGUGAGGCCCGAGGCUGCAGAGAGGCGUGGCCAGCAGAGAGGGGGCGUGCUGUUUCGCCCAAUCUCCGUGUGCGCUGAAGCUGCCGUCAUGAUCCCAUCGUUAGAGAAAGUAUUGAAGUCAUGGAGCUGGGGAUCCCAACUCAUUGAUUUGAUUGCUCCAAACUUCACAUCUCAAUGAUUAUAUAUCCUAAUGAGAAAUAUAAAGAAACUGUCAAUUACUUACCUGUAUCAGAAAUAAAGCACUCUGCGAUACCUUUGUCAGAUAAAAACUGACUUUGUCCCAUGUACACAUGCAAGCUGACAAUGAGCAGGCAUCUGAGGAUGCAUGAUAAUCAUCCUGGAUUAUAUUUGGCAAGUAGCCAUCCAUUCCUUCCAUGACGAAGCUGGUAAUACAGAUCAUUGGACUCCUUUUUUUAAACCAAUAUUAGUCCAAGAAGGCAAUGUUAUUAGUAGCUCAUGUCUCUACAUAAUGGAAGACUAAAACAAGAUUAAUGACUGCAAUGACUGAAUGGGAAGUGACAAUGUAUAAAUAGCUCCUGUACCUCAGGUUGUAUCUUAGCCUCGCAUUCAGCAUCACAUCAUCCAUCAUCCAUGAAGGAAGCCUUCAGAUCCGCGCUGAACCCACAGCAGACACAGAAACAACACAAGCAUAUGGAAAGCAGCAGCGGCACAGCUUGAGCAUCCAGCCAUGGGUGGGGUGAGCCGUGAUAAACAACAUACCGGACACUGGCAUGUGCGCCGUCGCCGUAAGCCUCGGGGAUCUGGUUCGCUUACACGCGCGUGGCCCGUCCAUCCUGGACGGUCUCAUCCUCCUGGCAGGCUUCGUCGGCGCACGAUGGAGCCGCCGCCAGCUCCUUGCUUUGUACCUCUUCGCCAUGCCGGCGUAAUGCUCAUCACGCUCCUCAUUUUUGCCUUUGUCGUCACCAGCGGUCCGGACAUGAGGCCCGAGGCUGCGGGGAGGCGUGGCCAGCAGAGAGGGGGCAUGCUGUUUCGCGCAAUCUCCGUGUGCGUUGAAGCUGCCGUCAUGAUCCCACCGUUAGAGAAAGUAUUGAAGUCAUGGAGCUGGGGAUCCCAACUUAUUGAAUUAAUUCCUCCAAACUUCACAUCUCAAUGAUUAUAUAUCCUAAUGAGAAAUGUAAAGAAACUUUCAAUUACUUACCUGUAUCAGAAAUAAAGCACUCUGCGAUACCUUUGUCAGAUAAAAACUGACUUUGUCCCAUGUACACAUGCAAGCUGACAAUGAGCAGGCAUCUGAGGAUGCAUGAUAAUCAUACUGGAUUGUAUUUGGCAAGUAGCCGUCCAUUCCUUCCAUGACGAAGCUGGUAAUACAGAUCAUUGAACUCCUUUUUUUAAAACAAUAUUACUCCAAGAAGGCAAUGUUAUUAGUAGCUCAUGUCUUUAGAUAAUGGAAGACUAAAACAAGAUUAAUGACUGCAAUGACUGACUGGGAAGUGACAAUGUAUAAAUAGCUCCUGUACCUCAGGUUGUAUAUUAGCCUCACAUUCAGCAUCACAUCAUCCAUCAUCCAUGAAGGAAGCAUUCAGAUCCGCGCUGAAGCCACAGAAACAACACAAGCAUAUGGAAAGCAGCGGCGGCACAGCUUGAGCAUCCAGCCAUGGGUGGGGUGAGCCGUCAUAAACAACAUACCGGACACUGGCAUGUCCGCCGUCCCCAUAAGCCUCGGGGAUCUGGUUCGCUUACGCGCGCGUGGCCCAUCCAUCCUGGACGGUCUCAUCCUCCUGGCAGGCUUCGUCGGCGCACGAUGGAGCCGCCGCCAGCUCCUUGCUUUGUACCUCUUCGCCAUGCCGGCGUAAUGCUCAUCACGCUCCUCGUUUUUGCCUUUGUCGUCACCAGCGGUCCGGACGUGAGGCCCGAGGCUGUGGAGAGGCGUGGCCAGCAGAGAGGGGGCAUGCUGUUUCGCGCAAUCUCCGUGUGCGUUGAAGCUGCCGUCAUGAUCCCACCGUUAGAGAAAGUAUUGAAGUCAUGGAGCUGGGGAUCCCAACUCAUUGAAUUGAUUCCUCCAUACUUCACAUCUCAAUGAUUAUAUAUCCUAAUGAGAAAUGUAAAGAAACUUUCAAUUACUUACCUGUAUCAGAAAUAAAGCACUCUGCGAUACCUUUGUCAGAUAAAAACUGACUUUGUCCCAUGUACACAUGCAAGCUGACAAUGAGCAGGCAUCUGAGGAUGCAUGAUAAUCAUACUGGAUUGUAUUUGGCAAGUAGCCGUCCAUUCCUUCCAUGACGAAGCUGGUAAUACAGAUCAUUGAACUCCUUUUUUUAAAACAAUAUUACUCCAAGAAGGCAAUGUUAUUAGUAGCUCAUGUCUCUAGAUAAUGGAAGACUAAAACAAGAUUAAUGACUGCAAUGACUGACUGGGACGUGACAAUGUAUAAAUAGCUCCUGUACCUCAGGUUGUAUCUUAGCCUCACAUUCAGCAUCACAUCAUCCAUCAUCCAUGAAGGAAGCAUUCAGAUCCGCGUUGAACCCACAGAAACAACACAAGCAUAUGGAAAGCAGCGGCGGCACAGCUUGAGCAUCCAGCCAUGGGUGGGCUGAGCCAUGAGAAUCAACAUACCGGACACUGGCAUGUGCGCCGUCCCCGUAAGCCUCGGGGAUCUGGUUCGCUUACGCGCGCGUGGCCCGUCCAUCCUGGGCGGUCUCAUCCUCCUGGUAGCCUUCGUCGGCGCAUGAUGGAGCCGCCGCCAGCUCCUUGCAUUGUACCUCUUCGCCAUGCCGGCGUAAUGCUCAUCACGCUCCUCGUUUUUGCCUUUGCCGUCACCAGCGGUCCAGAGGUGAGGCCCGAGGCUGCGGAGAGGCGUGGCCAGCAGAGGGGGGGCGUGCUGUUUCGCCCAAUCUCUGUGUGCGCUGAAGCUGUCGUCAUGAUCCCACGGUUAGAGAAAGUAUUGAAGUCAUGGAGCUGGGGAUCCCAACUCAUUGAUUUGAUUCCUCCAAACUUCACAUCUCAAUGAUUAUAUAUCCUAAUGAGAAAUAUAAAGAAACUGUCAAUUACUUACCUGUAUCAGAAAUAAAGCACUCUGCGAUACCUUUGUCAGAUAAAAACUGACUUUGUCCCAUGCAUACAUGCAAGCUGACAAUGAGCAGGCAUCUAAGGAUGCAUGAUAAUCAUCCUAGAUUAUAUUUGGCAAGUAGCCGUCCAUUCCUUCCAUGACAAAGCUGGUAAUACAGAUCAUUGAGCACCUUUUUUUUAAACAAUAUUACUCCAAGAAGGCAAUGUUAUUAGUAGCUCAUGUCUCUACAUAAUGGAUGAAUAAAAUAAGAUUAAUGACUGCAAUGACUGACUGGGAAGUGACAAUGUAUAAAUAGCUCCUGUACCUUAGGUUGUAAUAGCCUCGCAUUCAGCAUCGCAUCAUCCAUCAUCCAUGAAGGAAGCCUUCAGAUCCGCGCAGAACCCACAGCAGACACAGAAACAACACAAGCAUAUGGAAAGCAGCGGCGGCACAGCUUGAGCAUCCAACCAUGGGUGGGGUGAGCCGUGAGAAACAACAUACCGGACACUGGCAUGUGCGCCGUCCCCGUAAGCCUCGGGGAUCUGGUUUGCUUACGCGCGCGUGGCCCGUGUAUCCUGGGCAGUCUCAUCCUCCUGGCAGGCUUCGUCGGCGAUGAUGGAGCCGCCGCCAGCUCCUUGCUUUGUACCUCUUCGCCAUGACGGCGUAAUGCUCAUCACGCUCCUCGUUUUUUCCUUUGCCGUCACCAGCAGUCUGGAGGUGAGGCCCGAGGCUGCGGAGAGGCAUGCCCAGCAGAGGGGGGGCGUGCUGUUUCGCCCAAUCUCCGUGUGCGCUGAAGCUGCCAUCACGAUCCCACCGUUAGAGAACGUAUUUAAGUCAUGGAGUUGGGGAUCCCAACUCAUUGAUUUGAUUCCUCCAAACUUCACAUCUCAAUGAUUAUAUAUCCUAAUGAGAAAUAUAAAGAAACUGUCAAUUACUUACCUGUAUUAGAAAUAAAGCACUCUGCAAUAUCUUUGUCAGAUAAAAACUGACUUUGUCCCAUGUACACAUGCAAGCUGGCAAUGAGCAGGCAUCUGAGGAUGCAUGAUAAUCAUCCUGGAUUAUAUUUGGCAAGUAGCCGUCCAUUCCUUCCAUUACGAAGCUGGUAAUACAGAUCAUUGAACUCCUUUUUUUUAAACAAUAUUACUCCAAGAAGGCAAUGUUAUUAGCAGCUCAUGUCUCUACAUAAUGAAAGACUAAAACAAGAUUAAUGACUGCAAUGACUGACUGGGAAGUGACAAUGUAUAAAUAGCUCCUGUACCUCAGGUUGUAUCUUAGCCUCGCAUUCAGCAUCACAUCAUCCAUCAUCCAUGAAUGAAGCCUUCAGAUCCGCGCUGAACCCACAGCAGACACAGAAACAACACAAGCAUAUGGAAAGCAGCGGCGGCAUAGCUUGAGCAUCCAGCCAUGGGUGGGGUGAGCCAUGAGAAACAACAUACCGGACACUGGCAUGUGCGUCGUCCCCGUAAGCCUCGGGGAUCUGGUUCGCUUACGCGUGCGUGGCCCGUCCAUCCUGGGCGGUCUCAUCCUCCUGGCAGGCUUCGUCGGCGCAUGAUGGAGCCGCCGCCAGCUCCUUGCUUUGUACCUCUUCGCCAUGCCGGCGUAAUGCUCAUCACGCUCCUCGUUUUUGCCUUUGCCGUCACCAGCGGUCCGGAGGUGAGGCCCGAGGCUGCGGAGAGGCGUGGCCAGCAGAGGGGGGGGGGCGUGCUGUUUCGCCCAAUCUCUGUGUGCGCUGAAGCUGUCGUCAUGAUCCCACCGUUAGAGAAAGUAUUCAAGUCAUGGAGCUGGGGAUCCGAACUCAUUGAUUUGAUUCCUCCAAACUUCACAUCUCAAUGAUUAUAUAUCCUAAUGAGAAAUAUAAAGAAACUGUCAAUUACUUACCUGUAUCAGAAAUAAAGCACUCUGCGAUACCUUUGUCAGAUAAAAACUGACUUUGUCCCAUGCAUACAUGCAAGUUGACAAUGAGCAGGCAUCUAAGGAUGCAUGAUAAUCAUCCUAGAUUAUAUUUGUCAAAUAGACGUCCAUUCCUUCCAUGACAAAGCUGGUAAUACAGAUCAUUGAGCACCUUUUUUUUAAACAAUAUUACUCCAAGAAGGCAAUGUUAUUAGUAGCUCAUGUCUCUACAUAAUGGAUGACUAAAACAAGAUUAAUGACUGCAAUGACUGACUGGGAAGUGACAAUGUAUAAAUAGCUCCUGUACCUCAGGUUGUAUCUUAGCCUCGCAUUCAGCAUCACAUCAACCAUCAUCCAUGAAGGAAGCCUUCAGAUCCGUGCAGAACCCACAACAGACACAGAAACAACACAAGCAUAUGGAAAGCAGCGGCGGCACAACUUGAGCAUCCAACCAUGGGUGGGGUGAGCCGUGAGAAACAACAUACCGGACACUGGCAUGUGCGCCGUCCCCGUAAGCCUCGGGGAUCUGGUUUGCUUACGUGGGCGUGGCCCGUCCAUCCUGGGCGGUCUCAUCCUCCUGGCAGGCUUCGUCGGCGAUGGAGCCGCCGCCAGCUCCUUGCUUUGUACCUCUUCGCCAUGCUGGCGUAAUGCUCAUCACGCUCCUCGUUUUUGCCUUUGCUGUCACCAGCGGUCCGGAGGUGAGGCCCGAGGCUGCGGAGAGGCAUGGCCAGCAGAGGGGGGGGUGCUGUUUCGCCCAAUCUCCGUGUGCGCUGAAGCUGCCGUCAUGAUCCCACCAUUAGAGAACGUAUUUAAGUCAUGGAGCUGGGGAUCCCAACUCAUUGGUUUGAUUCCUCCAAACUUCACAUCUCAAUGAUUAUAUAUCCUAAUGAGAAAUAUAAAGAAACUAUCAAUUACUUACCUGUAUUAGAAAUAAAGCACUCUGCGAUAUCUUUGUCAGAUAAAAACUGACUUUGUCCCAUGUACACAUGCAAGCUGGCAAUGAGCAGGCAUCUGAGGAUGCAUGAUAAUCAUCCUGGAUUAUAUUUGGCAAGUAGCCGUCCAUUCCUCCAUGACGAAGCUGGUAAUACAGAUCAUUGAACUCCUUUUUUUUAAACAAUAUUACUCCAAGAAGGCAAUGUUAUUAGUAGCUCAUGUCUCUACAUAAUGGAAGACUCAAACAAGAUUAAUGACUGCAAUGACUGACUGGGAAGUGACAAUGUAUAAAUAGCUCCUGUACCUCAGGUUGUAUCUUAGCCUCGCAUUCAGCAUCACAUCAUCCAUCAUCCAUGAAGGAAGCCUUCAGAUCCGCGCUGAACCCACAGUAGACACAGAAACAACACAAGCAUAUGGAAAGCAGCGGCGGCACAGCUUGAGCAUCCAGCCAUGGGUGGGGUGAGCCAUGAGAAACAACAUACCGGACACUGGCAUGUGAGCCGUCCCCGUAAGCCUCGGGGAUCUGGUUCGCUUACGCGCGCGUGGCCCCUCCAUCAUGGGUGGUCUCAUCCUCCUGGCAGGAUUCGUCGGCGCAUGAUGGAGCCGCCGCCAGCUCCUUGCUUUGUACCUCUUCGCCACGCCGGCGAAAUGCUCAUCACGCUCCUCGUUUUUGCCUUUGCCGUCAGCAGCGGUCCGGAGGUGAGGCCCGAGGAUCCGGAGAGGCGUGGCCAGCACAAGAGGGGGGCGUGCUGUUUCGCCCAAUCUCCGUGUGCGCUGAAGCUGCCGUCAUGAUCCCACCGUUAGAGAAAGUAUUGAAGUCAUAGAGCUGGGGAUCCCAACUCAUUGAUUUGAUUCCUCCAAACGUCACAUCUCAAUGAUUAUAUAUCCUAAUGAGAAAUAUAAAGAAACUGUCAAUUACUUACCUGUAUCAGAAAUAAAGCACUCUCCGAUAUCUUUGUCAGAUAAAAACUGACUUUGUCCCAUGUACACAUGCAAGCUGACAAUGAGCAGGCAUCUGAGGAUGCAUGAUAAUCAUCCUGGAUUAUAUUUGGCAAGUAGCCGUCCAUUCCUUCCAUGACGAAGCUGGUAAUACAGAUCAUUGAACUCCUUUUUUUAAAACAAUAUUACUCCAAGAAGGCAAUGUUAUUAGUAGCUCAUGUCUCUACAUAAUGGAAGACUAAAACAAGAUUAAUGACUGCAAUGACUGACUGGGAAGUGACAAUGUAUAAAUAGCUCCUGUACCUCAGGUUGUAUCUUAGCCUCGCAUUCAGCAUCACAUCAUCCAUCAUCCAUGAAGGAAGCCUUUAGAUCCGCGCAGAACCCACAGCAGACACAGAAACAACACAAGCAUAUGGAAAGCAGCGGCGGCACAGCUUGAGCAUCCAGCCAUGGGUGGGGUGAGCCGUGAGAAACAACAUAACGGACACUGGCAUGUGCGCCUUCCCCGUAAGCCUCGGGGAUCUAGUUUGCUUACGCGCGCGUGGCCCGUCCAUCCUGGGCGGUCUCAUCCUCCUGGCAGGCUUCGUCGGCGCAUGAUGGAGCCGCCGCCAGCACCUUGCUUUGUACCUCUUUGCCAUGCCGGCGUAAUGCUCANNNNNNNNNNNNNNNNNNNNNNNNNNNNNNNNNNNNNNNNNNNNNNNNNNNNNNNNNNNNNNNNNNNNNNNNNNNNNNNNNNNNNNNNNNNNNNNNNNNNNNNNNNNNNNNNNNNNNNNNNNNNNNNNNNNNNNNNNNNNNNNNNNNNNNNNNNNNNNNNNNNNNNNNCUCCGUGUGCGCUGAAGUUACCCUCAUGGUCCCACCGUUAGAGAAAGUAUUGAAGUCAUGGAGCUGGGGAUCCCAACUCAUUGAUUUGAUUCCUCCAAUCUUCACAUCUCAAUUAUUAUAUAUCCUAAUGAGAAAUAUAAAGAAACUGCCAAUUACUUACCUGUAUCAGAAAUAAAGCACUCUGCGAAACCUUUGUCAGAUAAAAACUGACUUUGUCCCAUGUACACAUGCAAGCUGACAAUGAGCAGGCAUCUGAGGAUGCAUGAUAAUCAUCGUGGAUUAUAUUUGGCAAGUAGCCCUCCAUUCCUUCCAUGACGAAGCUGGUAAUACAGAUCAUUGAACUCCUUUUUUUAAAACAAUAUUACUCCAAGAAGGCAAUGUUAGUAGUGGCUCAUGUCUCUACAUAAUGGAAGACUAAAACAAGAUUAAUGACUGCAAUGACUGACUGGGAAGUGACAAUGUAUAAAUAGCUCAUGUACCUCAGAUUGUAUCUUAGCCUCGCAUUAAAAAUCACAUCAUCCAUCAUCCAUGAAGGAAGCCUUCAGAUCCGCGCUGAACCCACAGCAGACACAGAAACAACACAAGCAUAUGGAAAGCAGCGGCGGCACAACUUGAGCAUCCAGCCAUGGGUGGGGUGAGCCGUGAGAAACAACUUACCGGACACUGGCAUGUGCGCCGUCCACGUAAGCCUCGGGGAUCUGGUUCACUUACGCGCGUGUGGCCCGUCCAUCCUGGGCGGUCUCAUCCUCCUGGCAGGCUUCAUCGGCGCAUGAUGGAGCCGCCGCCAGCUCCUUGCUUUGUACCUCUUCGCCAUGCCGGCGUAAUGCUCAUCACGCUCCUCGUUUUUGCCUUUGCCGUCACCAGCGGUCCGGAGGUGAGGCCCGAGGCUGCGGAGAGGCGUGGCUAGCAGAGGGGGGGGGGCGUGCUGUUUCGCCCAAUCUCCGUGUGCGUUGAAGCUGCCGUCACAAUCCCACAGGUAGAGAAAGUAUUGAAGUCAUGGAGCUGGGGAUCCCAACUCAUUGAUUUGAUUCCUCCAAACUUCACAUCCCAAUGAUUAUAUAUCCUAAUGAGAAAUAUAAAGAAACUGUCAAUUACUUACCUGUAUCAGAAAUAAAGCACUCUGCGAUACCUUUGUCAGAUAAAAACUGACUUUGUCCCAUGUACACAUGCAAGCUGACAAUGAGCAGGCAUCUGAGGAUGCAUGAGAAUCAUCCUGGAUUAUAUUCGGCAAGUAGCGGUCCAUUCCUUCCAUGACGAAGCUGGUAAUACAAAUCAUUGAACUCCUUGUUUUUAAACAAUAUUACUCCAAGAAGGCAAUGUUAUUAGUAGCUCAUGUCUCUACAUAAUGGAAGACUAAAACAAGAUUAAUGACUGCAAUGACUGACUGGGAAGUGACAAUGUAUAAAUAGCUCAUGUACCUCAGAUUGUAUCUUAGCCUCGCAUUAAAAAUCACAUCAUCCAUCAUCCAUGAAGGAAGCCUUCAGAUCCGCGCUGAACCCACAGCAGACACAGAAACAACACAAGCAUAUGGAAAGCAGCGGCGGCACAACUUGAGCAUCCAGCCAUGGGUGGGGUGAGCCGUGAGAAACAACUUACCGGACACUGGCAUGUGCGCCGUCCACGUAAGCCUCGGGGAUCUGGUUCACUUACGCGCGUGUGGCCCGUCCAUCCUGGGCGGUCUCAUCCUCCUGGCAGGCUUCAUCGGCGCAUGAUGGAGCCGCCGCCAGCUCCUUGCUUUGUACCUCUUCGCCAUGCCGGCGUAAUGCUCAUCACGCUCCUCGUUUUUGCCUUUGCCGUCACCAGCGGUCCGGAGGUGAGGCCCGAGGCUGCGGAGAGGCGUGGCUAGCAGAGGGGGGGGGGCAUGCUGUUUCGCCCAAUCUUCGUGUGCGUUGAAGCUGCCGUCACAAUCCCACAGGUAGAGAAAGUAUUGAAGUCAUGGAGCUGGGGAUCCCAACUCAUUGAUUUGAUUCCUCCAAACUUCACAUCCCAAUGAUUAUAUAUCCUAAUGAGAAAUAUAAAGAAACUGUCAAUUACUUACCUGUAUCAGAAAUAAAGCACUCUGCGAUACCUUUGUCAGAUAAAAACUGACUUUGUCCCAUGUACACAUGCAAGCUGACAAUGAGCAGGCAUCUGAGGAUGCAUGAGAAUCAUCCUGGAUUAUAUUCGGCAAGUAGCGGUCCAUUCCUUCCAUGACGAAGCUGGUAAUACAAAUCAUUGAACUCCUUGUUUUUAAACAAUAUUACUCCAAGAAGGCAAUGUUAUUAGUAGCUCAUGUCUCUACAUAAUGGAAGACUAAAACAAGAUUAAUGACUACAAUGACUGACCGGAAAGUGACAAUGUAUAAAUAGCUCCUGUACCUCAAGUUGUAUCUUAGCCUCGCAUUCAGCAUCACAUCAUCCAUCAUCCAUGAAGGAAGCCUUCAGAUCCACGCUGAACCCACAGCAGACACAGAAACAACACAAGCAUAUGGAAAGCAGCGGCGGCACAACUUGAGCAUCCAGCCAUGGGUGGGGUGAGCCGUGAGAAACAACUUACCGGACACUAGCAUGUGCGCCGUCCACGUAAGCCUCGGGGAUCUGGUUCACUUACGCGCGUGUGGCCCGUCCAUCCUGGGCGGUCUCAUCCUCCUGGCAGGCUUCAUCGGCGCAUGAUGGAGCCGCCGCCAGCUCCUUGCUUUGUACCUCUUCGCCAUGCCGGCGUAAUGCUCAUCACGCUCCUCGUUUUUGCCUUUGCCGUCACCAGCGGUCCGGAGGUGAGGCCCGAGGCUGCGGAGAGGCGUGGCUAGCAGAGGGGGGGGGCGUGCUGUUUCGCCCAAUCUUCGUGUGCAUUGAAGCUGCCGUCAUGAUCCCACAGGUAGAGAAAGUAUUGAAGUCAUGGAGCUGGGGAUCCCAACUCAUUGAUUUGAUUCCUCCAAACUUCACAUCCCAAUGAUUAUAUAUCCUAAUGAGAAAUAUAAAGAAACUGUCAAUUACUUACCUGUAUCAGAAAUAAAGCACUCUGCGAUACCUUUGUCAGAUAAAAACUGACUUUGUCCCAUGUACACAUGCAAGCUGACAAUGAGCAGGCAUCUGAGGAUGCAUGAGAAUCAUGCUGGAUUAUAUUCGGCAAGUAGCGGUCCAUUCCUUCCAUGACGAAGCUGGUAAUACAAAUCAUUGAACUCCUUGUUUUUAAACAAUAUUACUCCAAGAAGGCAAUGUUAUUAGUAGCUCAUGUCUCUACAUAAUGGAAGACUAAAACAAGAUUAAUGACUACAAUGACUGACCGGAAAGUGACAAUGUAUAAAUAGCUCCUGUACCUCAAGUUGUAUCUUAGCCUCGCAUUCAGCAUCACAUCAUCCAUCAUCCAUGAAGGAAGCCUUCAGAUCCACGCUGAACCCACAGCAGACACAGAAACAACACAAGCAUAUGGAAAGCAGCGGCGGCACAGCUUGAGCAUCCAGCCAUGGGUGGGGUGAGCCGUGAGAAACAACAUACCGGACACUAGCAUGUGCGCCGUCCCCGUAAGCCUCGGGGAUCUGGUUCGCUUACGCGCGCGUGGCCCGUCCAUCCUGGGCGGUCUCAUCCUCCUGGUAGGCUUCAUCGUCGCAUGAUGGAGCCACCGCCAGCUCCUUGCUUUGUACCUCUUCGCCAUGCCGGCGUAAUGCUCAUCACGCUCCUCAUUUUUGCCUUUGCCAUCACUAGCGGUCCGGAGGUGAGGCCCGAGGCUGCGGAGAGGCGUGGCCAGCAGAGGGGGGGGGCGUGCUGUUUCGCCCAAUCUCUGUGUGCGCUGAAGCUGUCGUCAUGAUCCCACCGUUAGAGAAAGUAUUGAAGUCAUGGAGCUGGGGAUCCCAACUCAUUGAUUUGAUUCCUCCAAACUUCACAUCCCAAUGAUUAUAUAUCCUAAUGAGAAAUGUAAAGAAACUGUCAAUUACUUACCUGUAUCAGAAAUAAAGCACUCUGCGAAACCUUUGUCAGAUAAAAACUGACUUUGUCCCAUGUACACAUGCAAGCUGACAAUGAGCAGGCAUCUGAGGAUGCAUGAGAAUCAUGCUGGAUUAUAUUCGGCAAGUAGCGGUCCAUUCCUUCCAUGACGAAGCUGGUAAUACAAAUCAUUGAACUCCUUUUUUUAAAACAAUAUUACUCCAAGAAGGCAAUGUUAUUAGUAGCUCAUGUCUCUACAUAAUGGAAGACUAAAACAAGAUUAAUGACUGCAAUGACUUACCGGGAACUGACAAUGUAUAAAUAGCUCCUGUACCUCAAGUUGUAUCUUAGCCUCGCAUUCAGCAUCACAUCAUCCAUCAUCCAUGAAGGAAGCCUUCAGAUCCACGCUGAACCCACAGCAGACACAGAAACAACACAAGCAUGUGGAAAGCAGCGGCGGCACAGCUUGAGCAUCCAGCCAUGGGUGGGGUGAGCCGUGAGAAACAACAUACCGGACACUAGCAUGUGCGCCGUCCCCGUAAGCCUCGGGGAUCUGGUUCGCUUACGCGCGCGUGGCCCGUCCAUCCUGGGCGGUCUCAUCCUCCUGGUAGGCUUCAUCGUCUCAUGAUGGAGCCACCGCCAGCUCCUUGCUUUGUACCUCUUCGCCAUGCCGGCGUAAUGCUCAUCACGCUCCUCAUUUUUUCCUUUGCCAUCACUAGCGGUCCGGAGGUGAGGCCCGAGGCUGCGGAGAGGCGUGGCCAGCAGAGGGGGGGCGUGCUGUUUCGCCCAAUCUCUGUGUGCGCUGAAGCUGUCGUCAUGAUCCCACCGUUAGAGAAAGUAUUGAAGUCAUGGAGCUGGGGAUUGAUUUGAUUCCUCCAAACUUCACAUCUCAAUGAUUAUAAAUCCUAAUGAGAAAUAUAAAGAAACUGUCAAUUACUUACCUGUAUCAGAAAUAAAGAACUCUGCGAUACCUUUGUCAGACAAAAACUGACUUUGUCCCAUGCAUACAUGCAAGCUGACAAUGAGCAGGCAUCCAAGGAUGCAUGAUAAUCAUCCUAGAUUAUAUUUGGCAAGUAGCCGUCCAUUCUUCCAUGACAAAGCUGGUAAUACAGAUCAUUGAGCACCUUUCUUUUAAACAAUAUUACUCCAAGAAGGCAAUGUUAUUAGUAGCUCAUGUCUCUACAUAAUGGAAGACUAAAACAAGAUUAAUGACUGCAAUGACUGACUGGGAAGUGACAAUGUAUGAAUAGCUCCUGUACCUUAGGUUGUAUCUUAGCCUCGCAUUCAGCAUCACAUCAUCCAUCAUCUAUGAAGGAAGCCUUCAGAUCCGCGCUGAACCCACAGCAGACACAGAAACAACACAAGCAUAUGGAAAGCAGCGGCAGCACAGCUUGAGCAUCCAGCCAUGGGUGGGGUGAGCAGUGAGAAACAACAUACCGGACACUGGCAUGUGCGCCAUCCCCGUAAGCCUCGGGGAUCUGGUUCGCUUACGCGCGCGUGGCCCGUCCAUCAUGGGCGGUCUCAUCCUCCUGGCAGUCUUCGUCGGCGCAUGAUGUAGCCGCCGCCAGCUCCUUGCUUUGUACCUCUUCGCCAUGCCGGCGUAAUUCUCAUCACGCUCCAUGUUUUUGCCUUUGCCGUCACAAGCGGUCCGGAGGUGAGGCCCGAGGCUGCGGAGAGGCGUGGCCGGCAGAGGGGGGGCGUGCUGUUUCGCCCAAUCUCCGUGUGCGCUGAAUCUGCCGUCACGAUCCCGCCGUUAGAGAAAGUAUUGAAGUCAUGGGGCUGGGAUCCCAACUCAUUGAUUUGAUUCCUCCAAACUUCACAUCCCAAUGAUUAUAUAUCCUAAUGAGAAAUAUAAAGAAAGUGUCAAUUACUUACCUGUAUCAGAAAUAAAGCACUCUGCGAUACCUUUGUCAGAUAAAAACUGACGUUGUCCCAUGUACACAUGCAAGCUGACAAUGAGCAGGCAUCUGAGGAUGCAUGAUAAUCAUCCUGGAUUAUAUUUGGCAAGUAGCCCUCCAUUCCUUCCAUGACGAAGCUGGUAAUACAGAUCAUUGAACUCCUUUUUUUAAAACAAUAUUACUCCAAGAAGGCAAUGUUAUUAGUAGCUCAUGUCUCGACAUAAUGGAAGACUAAAACAAGAUUAAUGACUGCAAUGACUGACUGGGAAGUGACAAUGUAUAAAUAGCUCCUGUACCUCAGGUUGUAUCUUAGCCUCGCAUUCAGCAUCACAUCAUCCGUCAUCCACGAAGGAAGCCUUCAGAUCCGCGCUGAACCCACAGCAGACACAGAAACAACACAAGCAUAUGGAAAGCAGCGGCGGCACAACUUGAGCAUCCAGCCAUGGGUGGGGUGAGCCGUGAGAAACAACAUACCGGACACUAGCAUGUGCGCCGUCCCCGUAAGCCUCGGGGAUCUGGUUCGCUUACGCGCGCGUGGCCUGUCCAUCCUGGGCGGUCUCAUCCUCCUGGCAGGCUUCAUCGGCGCAUGAUGGAGCCGCCGCCAGCUCCUUGCUUUGUACCUCUUCGCCAUGCCGGCGUAAUGCUCAUCACGCUCCUCAUUUUUGCCUUUGCCAUCACCAGCGGUCCGGAGGUGAGGCCCGAGGCUGCGGAGAGGCGUGGCCAGCAGAGGGGGGGUGCUGAUUCGCCCAAUCUCCGUGUGCGCUGAAGCUGCCGUCACGAUCCCACCAUUAGAGAAAGUAUUGAAGUCAUGGAGCUGGGGAUCCCAACUCAUUGAUUUGAUUCCUCCAAACUUCACAUCUCAAUGAUUAUAUAUCCUAACUAGCAUAGUGGCCCGCUCGAUGCGCGGGCUAGAAUUUCAUAUAGAUUUUUUUCGUCAUGAAAACAUAUUAGUAUUUGAUUUCUUUAAAGAAAAAGUUGGAGACAAAUAUGAUGAAAUUUAUGAAUAUACGACUUUUGCGAUCAUAGUUUCGUCUUAGGUAUGCUUGCUUUUUAAUUCAUAUACGAAAAUAUAUACUCCCUCCGUCCAAAAUUCUUGUCUUAGAUUCGUCUAGAUACGGAUGUAUUUAAUACUAAAACGUGACUUGAUACAUCUGUAUUUAGACAAAUCUACGACAUGAAUUUUGGGACGGAGGGAGUAUGUUAUCAAUUUAUCAUUUACUUGCUAAUUAUGCAUAUUGUGCAACUGUAUUUUAUGAUCACUUGUGUUGUCGAAAAUUAUAUUCGUAUGAUAUUUCUUGCAUUGUUACAUUCAAAUUUUUAGCACAAAUUUAAUAGUUCCAUUUUUCUAGGUAGGCAUAGCUAAAUGUGCUAAUGUUGUGCAAGAUUGACAUUUUUUAUUUUAGUGUUUUUGAAUGUAAGUGAAAUAAAUUAGUUUAUGGAGUUAAUUUCAUUUUUUAUACUAUAUAGAAACAUUCAAACUUCCGUGUUAUUUAUUUGUUUGCAUGAUCAUUUGACAUACCUAUGUUAGGACACUGUGCACUAAGAUGGACCAAUGUUUACUCAGGUUUUCACUUUAGCAAAGUUUUUUUUAACAUUGUACACAACUUUCUAAAAUAACAAUAUCAACCUAAUUACUAUUUUUAAAUCGUUGACACUACUAUGUGCAGAGCGGCAUUGGUAUCACGGAUCCCACCCGAUUAAUCCUUCGCUUUCCUCUUUCUGGAGACUUCUUGUCUUCUUAGUGGCUCCCAGCCUUGGAAGUAUCCGAUCCAAGAUUGAUUCACGGCAUGAGAGGAUUACUCUGGAAGCUCCCCUGUUUUUCCUUGUUGGUCGCCCUGACGUGCACACACUCCGUGGCUUAGGUCCAGUGUACCGCCAUGGAUUGUCCUUCUAUGGCAACGUCAUUGGCCCCUCAUGCACUUGGUCGAUCUCCCUUAGAUUUCUAUCAGCCAACGCUCAUAGUCUCUGAUCCAAAACGUCAACAAAGAAUGCUCCUAGUAGCAUUACCACUUCGCCAGUGGCGAAAGCAAAUUUUUCACGGCGAUCAUGCGGGGUAAAUUAGAAUAGAUACCUUAAACACAAUAUGUCAAUACAAAGACUAUGCAUAUUAUUUUAGUCGUGUGCUCUUCUCUCUGUUAGUACAGGACCAUGCCAAUCUAAUGGUUAUUGAUCCAGUGUUGAUUCCAUAUGCAUAGAUUUUGUAUUGAGCAUAGUUAGAUAAUAUCGAGGUCUUCGUAUAAUCUUAACAUUUUUUUGGUUGAAAAAGAAUCAUACCUAUAAACUAUGUAUAGUGUCACAUAGCAUAAAUCUGGCCUAAAAUGGAAAUUAUGAUUCGAAAGAAUCUACAAUGAAUCAUUUAGCUAAUAUUUUGUAAAUAAUUUGUAGUUUGUUCACUGAAAUAAGUAUAACUUUAAUCUACAAAGGCAUGAUGCAUUAAACAACUCCAAAUAAAAAGCCUUGCCAAAGCAAAAUUCCAGAGAUGCGCAUUCAAACAACUGGUACUUAAAUUUCAAAGAUCUUCCUGGACAUAUGCCACCAAAAAAACAUCUCUUUUUGUAGAUUCGGCAAAACAAUUCUUUGUUCCUUUAAUACCAUCAUAUUUUUAAUGGAAUAAGAAAACAAACUACAAAAUCCACAUGCUACAAAAAAGUGAUUUUAUUUUCUCGUGCGCUUUUUCUAUCCUAGAUCUCUAACCGGUUAAUCAUAUUGUGCUCUCAGGAAACAAUUAAUGAAAAACUGCAUAGUUCAUUGAAAUAUAAUGCUACAACAAUACCUUGGCUACAAAUAUGAAUGCAAAAGUAUCCGGAAAACAUGGAUAAGUUAUAGAACCAAAUAGAUAGACUCACAAAAGAAUUUAUGGCCCUUCACACAAAGUGAAACCUAGAAGUAGGUAACAAACGCCUAAAAAAGGAGAAUGAAGCACGUUAGAUACUGGUAUAUAUUUCUAUAACCUGAACGACAAAAGGCUUAGUCAGAUAGAAAAUUCCAUUACAGCUAGGAAUCAUAUUUUAUAUCACUUCAGUAAAAACUAAGCUAAGUCGCAAAUGAAUGUAAGAUGAUAAACCGUUUCUUGCUAGCUAAUUUAUGAAACAACUUAUCUCCGUAGAAUGGAACUGUAGUAUAUGAAAUAAUAAAUAGGCAAGGAGUACUAAAUCCGUGCUUAACUUAAACUGAAGGUCUGCUAUGCAAAACUAACAUGCACAACAACAGUAUAUUUGCAUUUCCCUUGUCGUUAUUUCCACAUGUUCUUGGAGGAAUGCUUUUCCUUUGCUUUUUUUUCAUGUGAUGUCUUGAAAUACAAAGAACUGCAUGAUGGUAACACAACCUUCACGUUUUGAAACCUGCAUGCCUUAGCUAGAUCGUACCUUUAUAAUAAAAUCUAAUAAAUCCUUUAGUUCAGCUUAGCAAUUCCCAGUUCAGGAUGCAGGCGGACGUGAUAUGCUAGGGCUCUUGGUUAGUGUAUUAGCUCAGCAACAUAAUAAUUGUGGAGAUAAACAUGAGAUUGAAAGCUAGUAAAACAAUUGCUAGUUCAUCUACAUUUACUGAGAAUCUACAUCUACUUUUGACUGAAGGGGCACUGUCCCCAACUUUGUCACAGAUUGAAUUGACCUGUAGGCUAAGAUCAGGAGACCUAAGGAAAUUUCAGAAUUCUGGUUACAACAAAGCUGUACCAAUAAGCGUACAUGAAGUGUCGUACCAACUAUUGCUGAACUUGGGUAUCUACAGUAAACAAAAGUACACUGAUUUGAGUGUUGUUAUGUAAAAAGGAUCAAACUGGUCUAGCUAAAUCAGCUGUGUUACAAACCUUCGGCAUGCUAGAGGUUAUGGCACCCACUUUGUUAUUUUCCUUGUUGCACGUGCUUGCAAACACUGCCCGAAAGAACUGUUCCACAAAGACCUCAACAAAGCCAUGUUCAGAGAACCAAUCUGAAACUGAAAGAACUCUUCCACAAGACCACAACAUAUCCAUGUUCAGAGCACCAAUGUAAAACUGAAACUUAUUCUCCAUCCAUGUGCAGACCAAAACACUAUAAAUACAUGUUCCAUACAUAUUACUGUUACAUGGAUCCCAUUAUCAGCACAUCUCUUCUAUGUUCUUCAAUGUUGAUUACUGGAAUAUCAUACAUGUAUAAUUCAUAAGAAAGCAACGGAUGGCUCAAACAAUUAGAUAACUUAGAAGACAAUGUACUGCUUGAUGCAUGCAGCAAUUUUAUGUUACAUAGGAACAGAGAGAGGAAUUAGAAGAAGAUAUACGUACUCCUGAGUCUAGACCAAUACCUAGAACCUUGAGCCUAUAAUGAUUUUUUCUUGCCGGAUAUGGAUGGAGAACUACAGCCAACAAACACAUCGUGAGAAAACACGGAUAAGUAACAGUAUUACUAUGCCUUGUAAUCCACCUUGCUACAGAGCUGAGGAAAACUUAGCUGCUUCCUCAGGAUCGAUACAAUUAUCUGAAGACUGGUAUGUAUAUGUUUGCACGAAUCUCUAUUUAUUUCUCAUCUCUCCCUAUACAAUUAUCUGAUUUCAAGCGAUUAAGGAGAGAAAUAGACGAACUUACUGUGGUUUGCCACUGGGUCAGCUGUACUGAUUCCUGACAUCAUAUUUCACGGUUCAGAUCCAGCAUCCUCUUUUCCUAAAUCAAACAAAAAAAAGUGGGAUCUCCGGUCUAUCAGCCAGGAAGCAAAACUACUCGAAUAGGAGGAUUUAAGAAGGACAACGAUCUCAGAAUCGAGAAGACGUCUGGGAGAGAACACUUGCGUGCCCAAUGGAGGUAUCCUGUGGAGAUUCAUGUGGCAACGGCCGACCGAGUUGUGCGGAUGCAUCUGUCAUCAUAGUCGCCUAUCCUCUUAGAUUGGAAAAGGAUCAUCAAACGCCUAGGCAAGCAUGUGACUUCAAUGCCUCCUCGGUGGUGCCGUGGUGCUCAAGAGAAAUCCCCUGAGGGCAGGCCAUUGGGAGAGCACGUGAUGGAGGAGUUAGGAAUGGGUCGAGCCGUCGAGGUUCCAAUUCUGUAGAGAAGGAUGUUCCUUCGGCAAUGUUGUGUUGAUGCAGGAUGUGGAGCAUGGCGGCGGCGGCGGCUUGAAGUGUCAAGAGGUUAGGGCUCUGUGCGUUUUCUUUUCAUGGGGAGGUCUCGUGGGUCAUUUUUUUUAACUCGUGACCUUUUUCUUUGGGAAGGCUCGUGGGAUUUUUGUACAUCGGCAAGAAACGUGGGUCAUUUUUUUUUUUGAGGAAACGUGGGUCAUUGGGAAAGAGAGGUAAGUUUUUCUUUUCUUUUCUUGUUAUGUUGAAGAGUUAUUUUAUGUAAUGGCACUAGUGGGUAAUUUUCGCUGAUUUAUGUUGCAAAACAAAUUGUCUCCAUCGAACGGUUAUGUUUUCUUUUCCUAUGAAUUAAAUGGCCAGAUCUAUCUAAUUAUUAUGGGAUUUUCUAAAAUAUUUUCUUUUUUCUAGUGAUCCCAUCAAAUACGUUUUAUAUAUAAUAGAUGAGAAAUAUAAAUAAACUGUCAAUUACUUACCUGUAUCAGAAAUAAAGCACUCUGCGAUACCUUUGUCAGAUAAAAACUGACUUUGUCCCAUGUACACAUGCAAGCUGACAAUGAGCAGGCAUAUGAGGAUGCAUGAUAAUCAUCCUGGAUUAUAUUUGGCAAGUAGCCGUCCAUUCCUUCCAUGACGAAGCUGGUAAUACAGAUCAUUGAACUCCUUUUUUUAAACAAUAUUACUCCAAGAAGGCAAUGUUAUUAGCAGCUCAUCUCUCUACAUAAUGGAAGACUAAAACAAGAUUAAUGACUGCAAUGACUGACUGGGAAGUGACAAUGUAUAAAUAGCUCAUGUACCUCAGGUUGUAUCUUAGCCUCGCAUUCAGCAUCACAUCAUCCAUCAUCCAUGAAUGAAGCCUUCAGAUCCGCGCUGAACCCACAGCAGACACAGAAACAACACAAGCAUAUGGAAAGCAGCGGCGGCACAGCUUGAGCAUCCAGCCAUGGGUGGGGUGAGCCAUGAGAAACAACAUACCGGACACUGGCAUGUGCGCCGUCCCCGUAAGCCUCGGGGAUCUGGUUCGC